GCCGCGAUAGCUCAGCAGGUAGAGCGACUGACUGUUAAUCAGUAGGUCGAAGGUUCGAUCCCUUCUCGCGGCG
rnacentral:tRNA from 1 species